rnacentral:tRNA from 1 species
GUCCCCGUAGUUCAAUGGAUAGAAUAUUGGAUUCCGGUUCCAACGAUUGGGGUUCGACUCCCCACGGGGAUA